rnacentral:rRNA from 1 species
AUUGAACGCUGGCGGCAUGCCUUACACAUGCAAGUCGAACGGUAACAGGUCUUCGGAUGCUGACGAGUGGCGAACGGGUGAGUAAUACAUCGGAACGUGCCCGAGAGUGGGGGAUAACGAGGCGAAAGCUUUGCUAAUACCGCAUACGAUCUCAGGCUGAAAGCAGGGGACCGCAAGGCCUUGCGCUCACGGAGCGGCCGAUGGCAGAUUAGGCAGUUGGUGGGAUAAAAGCUUACCAAGCCGACGAUCUGUAGCUGGUCUGAGAGGACGAGCAGCCACACUGGGACGGAGACACGGCCCAGACUCCUACGGGAGGCAGCAGUGGGGAGUUUUGGACAAUGGGCGCAAGCCUGAUCCAGCCAUGCCGCGUGCAGGAUGAAGGCCUUCGGGUUGUAAACUGCUUUUGUACGGAACGAAAAGACUCUGGUUAAUACCUGGGGUCCAUGACGGUACCGUAAGAAUAGGCACCGGCUAACUACGUGCCAGCCGCCGCAGUAAGAC